rnacentral:rRNA from 1 species
AUGAUCUUCUUGAGGGUGCAUGGUUAUAGGUCCAAGGUGUCUGCUGUGGAUGUUGUGUAUGGCGUCACAACUUUGCUUGAAUCCCUGAAUGACGAGUCCAAGGACUCAAAGGAGUGUCGUGCUACUGAGCAAUUUUGGGUUCCAUACUCUGCGUUGUCGCUGAGCAAUGUGGAUUAGCUGCGAAAUGGAAUGCAAUCUGCAAUUGAGAUACAGAUGGCGAUACUGAAGCAGGGAAGCUCAACCAUCACCAAGAGAGGAUUCAUCCGGAGUGCGAAGAAGUUCUGGUGGGUGAAGCUUGAUUAUCCAGUGUACACUGCUAAGCUAUGCCACCCGUAGGUGCUUACCAAGUUCUGUUUCUUCCUGGUGGAUGCACUGAAGGAGAGGGGUGCAAGGAUAAAGCCGCUAAUCUGUGCCUGCUUAGAAAGGGAGCCUGAGAAGGUGUUGGUCAUUGGUGUAUCUGGGAAGCCAUGGCUCGGGGCUGUUCAGGGGAAUGCGUUCGGUAACGCAUUUAGGUCAGCGGCAGAGGAAAUCGGUGCCCAUUAUUUCCAUGACAUGUUUGAGUCAUCAUGGAUUGUUCUUGAUGUUGUUGCUGUGGGUGCGACGGUCCAGAUCCGCCACCCGUGGCCUCGGACCGGAUGGACCUCUCUGUCACGUUGGCCCUGA